rnacentral:rRNA from 1 species
GCCCAAGAGAUCGGGAUAACACCUGGAAACAGAUGCUAAUACCGGAUAACAACAGAUGAUGCCUAUCAACUGUUUAAAAGAUGGUUCUGCUAUCACUCUUGGAUGGACCUGCGGUGCAUUAGCUAGUUGGUAGGGUAACGGCCUACCAAGGCGAUGAUGCAUAGCCGAGUUGAGAGACUGAUCGGCCACAUUGGGACUGAGACAAGGCCCAAACUCCUACGGGAGGCAGCAGCU